rnacentral:rRNA from 1 species
UGAGGGAAAGUUGCAAAGAACUUUGWAGAGAGAGUUCAAGAGUACGUGAAACUGYYCAKAGGUAAACGGGUGGGCCCUCGAAAAUUGCGAGCGUGGGGGGAUUCAGUCGGGAGCGCGCGCGGGCGCGGCGGCCCAGUACCCGGAUCGGGGAAUGUCCGCUCGCGACCCGCGUCCGCGGCGCGACCGACGCACUUCUCCCCGCGCAUGCGAGCGCCACUGCCGGUCGGGUAGCUGCGAGAGUUGGCCUGAGGGGCGGGCGACGGCAGGUGGCGGGGUUCGGGACCCGUUCCCGUCCUCCGUCGUUAGCCUACCCGUCCGGGGCGCGACACCCGACCGAGUCGAUGGACCCCCGCAGGGGGGUCCAGCCGUCCCCUCCCUCAGAAGGGAGCCGGCGGGCCCGGACGCGCGACCGCGACGGCCUCGCGGUCGUCACUGUGCACAGUGGACCGCGGGCACCGCACGCGACGUCUGGCCCGCCAGGCCGGGGGGACGACGGCCGGCGGCGAGUAGGUCGGUAACCCACCCGACCCGUCUUGUAACACGGUCAAAGGAGUCUAACAUGUGCGCGAGUCCCCGGGACUUGCCCAGGCCCGGGGGCGCAAUGAAGGUGGAAGGGGGCGGCCGCCCGUCGGCCGCCACGGUGCUGGGACCCCCGCUCCGGUUCGCCGGUUGGGCGGAGUCGGAGCGUACACUUUGGGACCCGGAAGAUGGUGAACUAUGCCUGGACAGGACGAGGUCAGAGGAAACUCUGGUGGAGGUCCGCAGCGGUUCUGACGUGCAAGUCGAUCGUCGGAUCCGGG